rnacentral:rRNA from 1 species
GAUGAACGCUGGCGGCGUGCUUAACACAUGCAAGUCGAACGGAAAGGCCCAAGCUUGCUUGGGUACUCGAGUGGCGAACGGGUGAGUAACACGUGGGUGAUCUGCCCUGCACUUCGGUAUAAGCCUGGGAAACUGGGUCUAAUACCGGAUAGGACCACUUCUUGGAUGGUGUGGUGGAAAGUUUUUUCGGUGUGGGAUGAGCUCGCGGCCUAUCAGCUUGUUGGUGGGGUAAUGGCCUACCAAGGCGUCGACGGGUAGCCGGCCUGAGGGGGUGUACGGCCCAAUUGGGAUGGAGAUACGGCCCAGCCCCCUACGGGAGGCAGCAGUGGGGAAUAUUGACCAAGGGGCGCAAGCCUGAUGCAGCGACGCCGCGUGGGGGAUGACGGCCUUCGGGUUGUAACCGCCUUUCGCUAGGGACGAAGCGUUUUGUGACGGUACCUGGAGAAGAAGCACCGGCUAACUACGU